rnacentral:lncRNA from 1 species
AAAAGGUCAACUUGAUGCAGUGAGUACUCGAUGAGGACAUGCAUUGACAUCUUUUAUUUGACAUCAAGCCUUUUCUUGUAGCAUGAACUAUUUGACAGAGGUUGACAGUGGAUAAAAUCGACAAAGAGAAUACAAGGACUGGAAAAGAACAAGAUGAAGGUGCAGGUAUUCAAUGAAUUUUUCACAAAACAUGUUCAUGAAACAAGUUAUCAAGGUCAAGUUGAUGCUUUGAGUUCUCUUUCAAGACAUGCAACAUGGAGGUAUGGAACAUCUUCUUAUUUGACAUCAAACCUUUGCAUGCAGCAUGAUCCUUUUGACCUGGCUUGACAGUGGAUAAAAUUGGCAGAGAGGAUAAAAGAGAAUAUGAGAAAGCACAAGCUGAAAGUGUAUUUAUUCAGUGAUGCUGUGAAUCUUCUUUGAGGACAUGCAUUGACAGCAUGGAUGGAUGGAAGUUCUUUUCAAUUGACCUCAAACCUCUUCUUGCAUCAUCAUAUUUUUUUUACAGAGCUUGACAGUGGAGAAAACCCAGAGAGAGGAUAAAAGAACAACCUAAAAGUGUAUGUAUUCAGUGAACUCUGCAGAUAGCAUAUUCAUGAAGCAAGUUAUCAUUGGUCAGGUCGAUGCAGUGAGUAUUCUUUCAGGACAUGCAUCAACAACACGAAAGGAUGAGAGUUCUUUUUAUUUGACAUCAAACAUCUACUUGUAGGGAGAUCUUUCUGACAAACUUUGACAGUGGAAAAAUUCCAUAACGAGGAUAAAAGGACAGGAAAAGAACAAGCUGGAAGUGUAUCAUUCAGUGAAUUCAUGAAGCUUAUCAAGAUCAAGUUAAGUGUUAUUUUGGGAAACGCAGCAGCAGUAUUGAAGGAUGGAGGUUCUUUUUCUUAUUCUCAUCACAUACUUUUGGCAUCUGACUUUUCUGAAACAAAAAAAGGAUAUUGAACAGAUUGAUGGUAAUCAGAUGCUCAAAGUGCUUUAUCACCAGCAUUGUUCCGUGCCAAUAUCAUCAUCAAGCCACUGCAAGGAGUCAGAAGGCUUUGACAAGCCUGCUAGUGUGGAGCAUAAGGGAAUAAGAAUACCAAGGUGGGGAAGAGGAAUGAGAAUACCAAAUCAAAUGUAAAUCCAAUGUAGACCUGGAUGUGGGUAUCAGGAGAUUUGCAAGGUCAAAUCAUCAGACAUAUAUAGAAAAUGGGAGAAUAUUUCAUCGACUACGACUAAGACUACUGCAGAAUCGAUUUGACUGGAGGUACCCUACUCUGCACUUUAUAGAUGUUUAUCUCUUCUUCAAUCAAUUACAUUCAUGUCUACAUGAAAAAUCAGAUAUGAUUAGCUACGAGUGAUAGUUACUGGUAUGACAUGUUACUACACGAGUGAUAGCUACGAGGGAUUGUGUCGCUUAGUAUAUUGUUGCAUCACCUGGUACAAAGUCUCAUGCCACCUGGUACAACAUAGUAUAGGUAAGUAUACGGCAUUCGAUACAUGAAUAUGGAUCGAUAUAUUAUCAAUUUAAGCCUUACUCAGAACAUUAUUAUUACCAUUACAAUAAUAAUAAAAUCAUAAAUACUAACUAUUUAGUAUCACCUAUAUAG